rnacentral:rRNA from 1 species
CCUACGGGUGGCAGCAGUGAGGAAUAUUGGUCAAUGGACGAGAGUCUGAACCAGCCAAGUAGCGUGAAGGAUGACUGCCCUAUGGGUUGUAAACUUCUUUUAUAUGGGAAUAAAAUGUUCCACGUGUGGGAUUUUGUAUGUACCAUAUGAAUAAGGAUCGGCUAACUCCGUGCCAGCAGCCGCGGUAAUACGGAGGAUCCGAGCGUUAUCCGGAUUUAUUGGGUUUAAAGGGAGCGUAGGUGGAUUGUUAAGUCAGUUGUGAAAGUUUGCGGCUCAACCGUAGAAUUGCAGUUGAAACUGGCAGUCUUGAGUACAGUAGAGGUGGGCGGAAUGCGUGGUGUAGCGGUGAAAUGCUUAGAUAUCACGAAGAACUCCGAUUGCGAAGGCAGUUCACUGGACUGCAACUGACACUGAGGCACGAAAGUGUGGGUAUCAAACAGGAUUAGAUACCCGUGUAGUC